UGGGGAAUAUUGGACAAUGGGCGCAAGCCUGAUCCAGCAAUGCCGCGUGGGUGAAGAAGGCCUUCGGGUUGUAAAGUACUUUCAGCGGGGAGGAAGGUGCUGAGGUUAAUAACCUCAGCAAUUGACGUUACCCGCAGAAGAAGCACCGGCUAACUCCGUG
rnacentral:rRNA from 1 species